rnacentral:rRNA from 1 species
AUAAUGCAGUCGAACGCUUUGUGGUUCAACUGAUUUGAAGAGCUUGCUCAGAUAUGACGAUGGACAUUGCAAAGAGUGGCGAACGGGUGAGUAACACGUGGGAAACCUACCUCUUAGCAGGGGAUAACAUUUGGAAACAGAUGCUAAUACCGUAUAACAAUGACAACCGCAUGGUUGUUAUUUAAAAGAUGGUUCUGCUAUCACUAAGAGAUGGUCCCGCGGUGCAUUAGCUAGUUGGUAAGGUAAUGGCUUACCAAGGCGAUGAUGCAUAGCCGAGUUGAGAGACUGAUCGGCCACAAUGGGACUGAGACACGGCCCAUACUCCUACGGGAGGCAGCAGUAGGGAAUCUUCCACAAUGGGCGAAAGCCUGAUGGAGCAACGCCGCGUGUGUGAUGAAGGGUUUCGGCUCGUAAAACACUGUUGUAAGAGAAGAAUGACAUUGAGAGUAACUGUUCAAUGUGUGACGGUAUCUUACCAGAAAGGAACGGCUAAAUACGUGCCAGCAGCCGCGGUAAUACGUAUGUUCCAAGCGUUAUCCGGAUUUAUUGGGCGUAAAGCGAGCGCAGACGGUUAUUUAAGUCUGAAGUGAAAGCCCUCAGCUCAACUGAGGAAUUGCUUUGGAAACUGGAUGACUUGAGUGCAGUAGAGGAAAGUGGAACUCCAUGUGUAGCGGUGAAAUGCGUAGAUAUAUGGAAGAACACCAGUGGCGAAGGCGGCUUUCUGGACUGUAACUGACGUUGAGGCUCGAAAGUGUGGGUAGCAAACAGGAUUAGAUACCCUGGUAGUCCACACCGUAAACGAUGAGUGCUAGGUGUUUGAGGGUUUCCGCCCUUAAGUGCCGCAGCUAACGCAUUAAGCACUCCGCCUGGGGAGUACGACCGCAAGGUUGAAACUCAAAGGAAUUGACGGGGACCCGCACAAGCGGUGGAGCAUGGGGUUUAAUUCGAAGCACGCGAAGAA